rnacentral:rRNA from 1 species
GACGAACGCUGGCGGCGUGCUUAACACAUGCAAGUCGAACGAUGAAGCCGGAGCUUGCUCUGGUGAAUUAGUGGCGAACGGGUGAGUAACACGUGAGUAACCUGCCCUUGACUCUGGGAUAACUGCGGGAAACUGUAGCUAAUACCGGAUAUGACCCUCGGGGGCAUCUCCUGGGGGUGGAAAGAAUUUCGGUCAAGGAUGGACUCGCGGCCUAUCAGCUAGUUGGUGAGGUAAAGGCCCACCAAGGCGACCACGGGUAGCCGGCCUGAGAGGGUGGCCGGCCACACUGGGACUGAGACACGGCCCAGACUCCUACGGGAGGCAGCAGUGGGGAAUAUUGCACAAUGGGCGCAAGCCUGAUGCAGCAACGCCGCGUGAGGGAUGACGGCCUUCGGGUUGUAAACCUCUUUUAGCAGGGAAGAAGCGAAAGUGACGGUACCUGCAGAAAAAGCACCGGCUAACUACGUGCCAGCCGCCGCCGUAA